rnacentral:misc_RNA from 1 species
GGAAGUAAAAGUCGUAACAAGAUUUCCGUAGGUGAACCUGCGGAAGGAUCAUUAUUGUAUAACCGAGGUGCGAGGGCUGUCGCUGACCCGAAAGGUCGUGCACGCCCGAGUGCCCUCACACACAUCCAUCUCACCCCUAUGUGCACCACCGCGUGGGUCCCCCUUUGGCUUGUUCGGAGGGGGGCUUACGUUUUCACACAAACUUUGUAUGCAGUGUAGAAUGUAUUUUUUGUUUUUGCGAUCACGCAAUCAAUACAACUUUCAACGACGGAUCUCUUGGCUCUC